AGCGAACGCUGGCGGCAGGCUUAACACAUGCAAGCCGAACGGGCUUCUUCGGAAGUCAGUGGCAGACGGGUGAGUAACACGUGGGAACGUGCCCUUCGGUUCGGAAUAACUCAGGGAAACUUGAGCUAAUACCGGAUACGCCCUUUUGGGGAAAGGUUUACUGCCGAAGGAUCGGCCCGCGUCUGAUUAGCUUGUUGGUGGGGUAACGGCCUACCAAGGCGACGAUCAGUAGCUGGUCUGAGAGGAUGAUCAGCCACACUGGGACUGAGACACGGCCCAGACUCCUACGGGAGGCAGCAGUGGGGAAUAUUGGACAAUGGGCGCAAGCCUGAUCCAGCCAUGCCGCGUGAGUGAUGAAGGCCUUAGGGUUGUAAAGCUCUUUUGUCCGGGACGAUAAUGACGGUACCGGAAGAAUAAGCCCCGGCUAACUUCGUG
rnacentral:rRNA from 1 species